UACAGGGGGGGCAAGCGUUGUUCGGAAUUACUGGGCGUAAAGGGUUUGUAGGCGGCCACUUAAGUCAGACGUGAAAUCCCUCAGCUUAACUGGGGAACUGCGUCUGAUACUGCGUGGCUUGAGUGCAGGAGAGGAACGCGGAAUUCCAGGUGUAGCGGUGAAAUGCGUAGAUAUCUGGAGGAACACCGGUGGCGAAGGCGGCGUUCUGGACUGUAACUGACACUGAAAAACGAAAGCCAGGGGAGCAAACGGG
rnacentral:rRNA from 1 species